AGCUCUCUCUACAAGGAGACACAGGACUCAGACUGAGGCAGUUUAUGAAGAGAUUGAUCACAGACACACAAUCAAACAAAAACACUUCACUCGGAGAGGGAGUCUCAUCUCUGAAGAACAACAUUCUGGAUAUGAAAAUGAAGAUGAACUUUUCUCAGCAGAACAGAAAAUCACACCAGGAUACUAUAAUGAUGUCAUCACUGUUGGACUGUCGGCAGAUCGUCAGACAGCAGACGUGCCAGAGAAUUAUGAUGAUGUCAUCAUUGUCAGACAGAACAUUCAAGGUAUAAAUGCAGACGUGCCAGAAGAUUAUGAUGAUGUCAUCAUUAUUAGACAGAACAGUCAAGGUAUAAAUGACUAUGAGGAUGUGGAGGAGGAGUCAAAUUGAUCUAACAGCCCCAAUGCCUAUAAAAUCAUAAGUGUCUGAACAAAGGAGCUUAUGGGACCUUUAUUAUUGCUAUUAAAUCAUUAUUGACGUCAGAUGAUCUAUU